UACGGGGGGAGCAAGCGUUGUUCGGAUUUACUGGGCGUAAAGGGCGCGUAGGCGGCCAGCACAAGUCAGUUGUGAAAUCUCCGAGCUUAACUCGGAAAGGUCAACUGAUACUGUGCGGCUAGAGUGCGGAAGGGGGAACUGGAAUUCUUGGUGUAGCGGUGAAAUGCGUAGAUAUCAAGAGGAACACCUGCGGCGAAGGCGGGUUGCUGGGCCGACACUGACGCUGAGGCGCGAAAGCCAGGGGAGCGAACGGG
rnacentral:rRNA from 1 species